UUUUUUUUUUUUUUUUUUUUUUUUUUUUUUUUUUUUUUUUUUUUUUUUU
rnacentral:ribozyme from 1 species